rnacentral:tRNA from 1 species
GGUUGUGGCUCAGUGGUAAAGUGCUUGCCUAGCAUGUGUGAGGCACUGGGUUGGAUUCUCAGCACCA